UACGUAGGUGGCAAGCGUUGUCCGGAUUUACUGGGCGUAAAGAGCGCGCAGGCGGUCGUUCAAGUCGCGUGUGAAAGCCCCCGGCUCAACUGGGGAGGGUCACGCGAUACUGAUCGACUGGAAGGCAGGAGAGGGUAGUGGAAUUCCCAGUGUAGUGGUGAAAUGCGUAGAUAUCGGGAGGAACACCGGUGGCGAAGGCGGUUCUCUGGGCCUGUACUGACGCUGAGGAGCGAAAGCGUGGGGAGCGAACAGG
rnacentral:rRNA from 1 species